GACGAACGCUGGCGGCGUGCCUAAUACAUGCAAGUAGAACGCACAGUUUAUACCGUAGCUUGCUACACCAUAGACUGUGAGUUGCGAACGGGUGAGUAACGCGUAGGUAACCUGCCUGGUAGCUGGGGAUAACUAUUGGAAACGAUAGCUAAUACCGCAUAAUAUUGAUUAUUGCAUGAUAAUUAAUUGAAAGUUGCAAUUGCACCACUACCAGAUGGACCUGCGUUGUAUUAGCUAGUAGGUGAGGUAACGGCUCACCUAGGCGACGAUACAUAGCCGACAGGAGAUGGUGAGCGGCCAGACUGGGAGUGAGACCGGGCCCAGAGGCCUACGGGAGGCAGCAGGAGGGAAUCUUCGGCAAUGGACGAAAGUCUGACCGCGAAACGCCGAGGGAGUGAAGAAGGUUGUCGGAUCGUGAAGCUCGGUUGUAAGAGAAGAAAGGGUGUGAGAGUGGAAAGUUCACACUGUGACGGUAUCUGACCAGAAAGGGACGGCUAACUACGUG
rnacentral:rRNA from 1 species